rnacentral:lncRNA from 1 species
UUGUUUGAUUAAUGAUUAGAGCAUAAUUUAAAGAAAACGAAUAGAUUUGCGAGUGAGGCUACUAUGCUUCUAGAAGCACGGAGUCUUCCGUGCUUCCAGGUCGUUUUUGAUGUUGCGACUUUCGAAUCGUCGAUCGGCUCCGUUAAACUUGAUCUAGAGUAUUUGAAGUACCUAGAAAAUAAAUUUUGCAAUUUUUCGAUAUCAUUUGCCUAGUGAACUAAGGGGCUCAAAAUCAACGGCUGAAAAUAAAAAUCUUACAAAACGUGAUAAUAUGACAUUAAAAUUUUAGAUCAAAGAUAUUGAUCUUGUUUUAUAUAGUAUAAAGAAUUUUCUAUCAAAAUUUCACGUGAUUUGGAUAUUUUUACACCGUUAAACUUGCAAACGGCUCACCACGGCCAUUAAAAUUAUUGAUUUUGAGUCCCUUCGAUCACUAGGCAAAUGAUAUCGAAAAAUCAGAAAAUUAUUUUCUAUGUACUUUAAAUACUCUAGAUUAAGUUUAACGGAGCCGAUCGACGAUUCGAAAGUCGCAACAUCGAAAACGACCUGCAAGCACGGAAGGCUCCGUGCUUCCAGAAGUAUAGUAGCCUCACUCUAGAUUUGCAUUCAUUAAUCAACAAAUAAUAAUUUUUCUUAAC